GACGAACGCUGGCGGCGUGCUUAACACAUGCAAGUCGAACGGAAAGGCCCUGCUUUUGUGGGGUGCUCGAGUGGCGAACGGGUGAGUAACACGUGAGUAACCUGCCCUUGACUUUGGGAUAACUUCAGGAAACUGGGGCUAAUACCGGAUAGGAGCUCAUGCUGCAUGGUGGGGGUUGGAAAGUUUCGGCGGUUGGGGAUGGACUCGCGGCUUAUCAGCUUGUUGGUGGGGGAGUGGCUUACCAAGGCUUUGACGGGUAGCCGGCCUGAGAGGGUGACCGGCCACAUGGGGACUGAGAUACGGCCCAGACUCCUACGGGAGGCAGCAGUGGGGAAUAUUGCACAAUGGGCGGAAGCCUGAUGCAGCAACGCCGCGUGCGGGAUGACGGCCUGCGGGUUGUAAACCGCUUUCGCCUGUUACGAAGCGGGAGUGACGGUAAUGGGUAAAGAAGCACCGGCUAACUACGUG
rnacentral:rRNA from 1 species